ACAGAAAGGGAUGGCAUUCCAUUGUUUUGCAAGCUGUGGUGGAUCAUAAGUAUUGUUUCACAGACGUAUUCAUCGGUUGGCCGGGACGGUCACAUGACGCUCGAGUGCUUGCAAACUCUGAUCUGUACCGGGUAGCAGAGGACAAGCAAGGGGGCUACCUUUUUCCAAGAGAGAAAUCAAAAUUUGUGGAUGGAGUGGAGAUCCCGGUACACAUAAUUGGUGAUGCCGCCUACCCGUUACGACGAUGGCUCAUGAAGGGGUUCACCCAACAUGUCCAGCUGAGCUCCAAUCAAAUUACUUAUACUCACACCCUGAGCUCAGCAAGAAUGGUGGUCGAAAAUGCCUUUGGACGAUUAAAAGGACGUUGGCGCUGUCUUAUGAAGCGCAAUGAUGUAGACAUUAAUAUCAUGCCUAACAUUGUUGCAGCAUGUUGUAUUCUGCAUAACCUAUGUGAGUUUCAGAGGGAGGAAUUCCUCCCAGAGUGGACAGUGCAGGCCUCUGCUGCGUACCCUGCACUUGAUUGUGAGGCCUAUCUGGGCGACCAUUCUGGAAGUGCAGAACAGAUGAGGUCUGCUAUAAUGGCCAACCUUCCCUCAUUACUCCGUUAAUUUUUUUCAGUUUGUAUAUUCAGUAAAUUGUUGUUGCUACAAAAAAUAAACCUGUUUAGUUGACGUUCUGCUACUGUGUCGAUAACAAAUGUACAACAUCAAUAUCCAAUUUGAAA